AGUGAACGCUGGCGGUAGGCCUAACACAUGCAAGUCGAACGGCAGCACAGUAAGAGCUUGCUCUUACGGGUGGCGAGUGGCGGACGGGUGAGGAAUACAUCGGAAUCUACUUUUUCGUGGGGGAUAACGUAGGGAAACUUACGCUAAUACCGCAUACGACCUACGGGUGAAAGCAGGGGAUCUUCGGACCUUGCGCGAUUGAAUGAGCCGAUGUCGGAUUAGCUAGUUGGCGGGGUAAAGGCCCACCAAGGCGACGAUCCGUAGCUGGUCUGAGAGGAUGAUCAGCCACACUGGAACUGAGACACGGUCCAGACUCCUACGGGAGGCAGCAGUGGGGAAUAUUGGACAAUGGGCGAAAGCCUGAUCCAGCCAUACCGCGUGGGUGAAGAAGGCCUUCGGGUUGUAAAGCCCUUUUGUUGGGAAAGAAAAGCAGCAGGUUAAUACCCCGCUGUUCUGACGGUACCCAAAGAAUAAGCAUCGGCUAACUUCGUG
rnacentral:rRNA from 1 species